CAAAGAAAAAAUAAGAAACCUUUGGGAACACAAAGCUGUCUUGGGCUGAUGCGUCUAAAGUUCUAUUCUGCUUUUGCAACAGUUUUUAACUGACACUUCAUUGCAGAAAUUAGCCCAAAUGACAAGAGGAUAUCAGGGUUGUGCCAGAGCCCUGAUAGCAGCGUAACAAAAACAAAAAAAAGAUCUGCUAAUCCAUGCUGGUCUGUGGAAUGUUUGUUGUAAAUGGCAAGGAGAUAAAGAGCUUGUGCAAGAAUGUAAAGCACUUUGUGACUAAACAUGCUAUUUAUUUCCGAUGACUUUUGCUUUUCUCUAUAGCAAGACAUUCUCAAAAAAGAGGACCUGACAAAUCAUCCAGUAUGAUGGUACAUCCAGUUCAUAAAAGCAAAAUCAAACAAGAUUCACUGAUACUUCUGAUGGCAGUGAUGGCCCAUCUAGAGCAAGCUGCUGCAAAGAUGCCAGUGGAGGAGGCGUGGCCAGGGCUGUGCCCUCUACAGAGCCCAUGGGAACCAGGAACAGGUUUAGCUGACUUCUGAAAACGUGAAUGUUAAUUUAAAUUACAAGGGUGGAACCGCACAUCAGUCAGUGGAAUCAAAUGAAUAGAACUACACGUCAAUGUAUAAAAGAUAUCA